CGGACGGGUGAGUAAUGUAUAGGAACUUGCCGUAGUAGUGGGGGACAACGUGUGGAAACGCACGCUAAUACCGCAGUACGCUCUACGGAGGGAAAGCGGGGGAUCUUCGGACCUCGUGCUACUAGAUGGGCCUAUAUUGGAUUAGCUAGUUGGUAAGGUAAAGGCUUACCAAGGCGACGAUCCAUAGCUGGUUUGAGAGAAUGAUCAGCCACACUGGGACUGAGACACGGCCCAG
rnacentral:rRNA from 1 species